GAAGAUAUCAGCUCAUUCAAACCUUCAAUAGUACAUUUAAAUGAUUGGAGUAUAUCAUUAGGUUUCCAGUUGACUGUAAAUGACAUUUCAAACCUGAAGAUAUUCUGUAUCCAGAAAUAUUGAAGUCAAUUCAGCAUUUCGCCAUUCCAAAUACGAUUUGGUGAAGAGGUUUUUGAUUUAAACUUACAACACAAGAAAAACAUUUUUUGAACAUACUUUCAAGUUUCGGUUUUGAAAAAUCUAAAAACCAAAUAAGAAAUGCCACAUUUCUGCAUAUUAUCAAAUACUAUAGAUUAAUACAAUAGGUUGAAUUAAUUUUUGAAAAAAUAUUGCAUUUAAAAUGCAUGGUGUGUACUGUGUAUGUUGUGACUCAAUAACAUUAUGAGUUAAUUAAUUAUAUUGUAUUUCAAUUUUCUUUUUUUUUUUGGAUUUUUAUUCUUUAAAUGUUAUUAAAGUUAUAUCCAUUGGGUCAAAAUGCUUCAAAAUGUAAUACCAAGUUCCUCACACAUUGUUGAAAUAUCAGAUUAAAAAUACAUAUACAAGACCUUUUUUAUAAGCUUUUAAAGUUCAAAUUUUGACAUAAUUUAUCAAAUAGAAAAUUUACAAAUUAUUUUGUUGUUAUACAUUUAUAACAUGUUAAACUUUCUUAGCUAAGCAUCAAAAAUUUAAAACAUACAAGGUUGGGCGUAAGAAG